UCUUUGUCACCGACGAUUACUUUCUCGAUGGAACCGGAUUUAAUAAAAUUCUUUUCAAGCACGUUAUCGAGAACUGGAUCUAACUCUUCCGCGAUGUCUUCUAUCAGCAAUGGUCUGCCUAAAGAGAGACUGUCUUCAAGAGCACUGCAGAAAGAUCUCAAACCCGGUAAUAAAAGGCUCUUAAUCAUCGGGCAAUCGUCCUCUCCUUCAGAGCCAGGAUGUGCAAGCGCAUCCAUGAAAACGUACUCUACUAUCCUCUGUAUCGCGGUUAUUAUCCCCACUUUUUUUGUGUCUAUCACACCGGUGUAAAGAUCUUUUUGGAAACCUUCCUCGGGUAAUUGUUUCGAGAUAUUUAAUCUAAUAAAAGUUUCGAGUUUGCGUCACUGAAGUGCGACUACCAAUUAUAACUUCAUAAGACUGUUAUGUAUAACACUUAUACUUUAUAUCAUACCUGAAUAUGUAAACGCAUAUUCCAGUACAAGGUACUUGCCAUCCAUCGGUAAGAAACAAUUUCUUUUUCCCUGAUUCUUUUAUUUCUUUUUGUUCUUUAACUUUCGGUACCGAUGUGCUUGGACUUGGUCGAGUGGUCGAAGUUUUUGCUUGAAUCUGCAAAAUAAAAUUCCACGGUUAUUUUAUUAUUAACGCCGGAAUAAUUAGACUCUGAUAAUACUGAUAUCUAAAUAUACUAAAUAUAAAUAAUUGUAAUAAAGAGUCGUAUCAUGAAAAUAAAAUAGGUACAUACAUGCAAGAAGUACGUUUCCAUCUGAAUGAAAGUCAACAUUAAUUUUGUCGAAAGCACUUAUGUAUUCUUAACAAUUGCAUACAAAAUAAGAUCGAAAUGCGACAAAAUUACAAGCUUUAGUUUCUUUCUCCUGGUAAUUAUUAAAACCACGUGAAUAUUUUCAGUAAAAUUAAUAUCGACUUUCAUCGAGAUAGAAACACGGUUAUACAGAGUAAUUUAUUUUCAUUAUACUACUUUAAUUAUAAUUAUUUAUAUGUACAUUAAAAAAUACUUGAUAAUUUUGACGUUAAAUUGAGGUUUUCAUUCAAAAAUAAAAGAUAAAAGGUUUGACCGUUUCUAUAGGACGUAGAGUUUCAGAUUCCUCCACUUCUUGAUAAUACCAGACGAGGGUGGACUUCAUAUGGGGCAAAAACAGUUGAUUGAUUUCGUCCAGCAUGUCUCCCUCGAAAACGUGAUCCAUGACCUCGUGGCGGGACAAUUGUGUAGCAUCCAUCAAGAGUUGGAAAGCGAAUUCUAGACGGGGAUCCAUCUCCCCUCGUCUUGCCUUUCUCUCGCAUUCUUCUCGGCGUUUCUGCGAAGCAAAUCGAAGGAUAUUAAUUGUUUUUUAUACGCCGUGCUCGAGUCAGUAGUAGUGCCUUGUCAUUGGUCAGACAUGUUCGCCUAUCCUCUUUAUUACAAGCAUGGCGUAGAAUAAUCGAUUCCAGUUUUAUUUUUUAUUUUUGAUGUCAUUUCUUACUACUGUUAUCAAAGUGUGAUAAAUUGUUAUAUCGCACACUCGAGUUUCAAAAAUCCAAUUUAAUUUCACAGUAGAGCGACUUUGUGAAGUUGCGUUUGUUAAUAUCGCUACAGUUUAUCUAAUUAUUUAUUGCCCUACUGUCCUACACGAACUUAACUACGUGCACGAUACAUUAAAAAAUCACUGUUUCAUAUUCACUUAUGACAAUAUUUCAUUAUCGAGUAUUACGGUGAUCGGUAGCUUCAUUCAGCGCUUCGGAUAAUAACAAAAGAAAAUAUGAAAUAAAACGGCCAAAAAGCAAAAGAACAAUAGACCUGGAGGACAUCACCGGUCCCUUCUUCGUCGCUGCCUUCCUCAGAAUUCUCCGACUUCUGUUGAACCAACAAAGCAGGAGCUUGCACGAACAUGGUCGAACGAAUUAAACCGGCAAAGACGAUACAAUUACACGAUAAAAGAAUGGAUAACGCGAUGGCGAGAUUCACCGACAGUUACACCGGCGAACUGAAAGACUUCCGAAGUAGUGUAAGGAGCGGAUAUCCAGUGCCACGAGUUCGUGUCUGGUACCGCCCUUCUACGUAUCGUUCGUGUCGUGUGGGAAUUUCCGCGCGAUUCUGUCGACAGUAGUCGAUACUGAUACCACAUAGUGUGUAUUCUUCUUCCAUUGUCGUAAAAUCGUGUUAUACAAUAAUAGUCCAUAUAACAAUGAACAACAUUCGUGGUAUUAAUGAUAGUGAUGGAUUACAUCGUGCAUGUUUUAAAAUUAAUAUUGGUCGAUUUUUUGCAUCGGUGAUCGAGAUAUUCGUCAAAGCGACGAUUCUUACAACAUGUUGUGAAUAUUUCUUAUUUGUGAAUCCACGAUCCAGUAGCUGCGUAUGCGCGACGAUGAAACUAACAGCUCUGCAACGAGUAUACAAGAAUAAGUUACGUAUGAGUAUUUGUAUUUAUAUACAAAGAUUAUUCUUAUCUUCUGAAGCGUUGCUUUUGCUUUAUAUUUUUCUGCCACCGGAUUAACCAGCAUGUUACGAUACAACCGGAAAUAUUAGCAAUUCAACAUCGCUUUUUAAGCGAUGAUUCGACGAUGUUGCUUAAAAUUAGUAUUGCAGCGAAUAUUUUGAAAUUAAAAUGUAACUUUAGCUUUUCUGUUUCAAUUUGUAGAUUGCCAGUGCUCGUGUAUUGCCUCGCGUAUAUUGUUUUUCUACUUUUUGCUUUAUUAUUUAUAUUCAUUGCAUGGAGUAGGUCUGCAAAAAAUUAGUUCAAUUAAUUGUACAUAAAAUACUAAUUUCGUAUUAAUAAUAUAACUAAAAACUUUUUCACUUUAUACGUGUAAUAUGUAGGUAUAUAUAUGUACUUUUGGUGUCACAGUUGUCCUACCCGCAUCUCGCUUUAUGUGUAUAUAAAUACGAUUACAUUUAUGUACAAUGUAGCACAUAAAUGCGUACGCCAUUUCCUAUAUGCUAUACUACAAAAUCGAGAUAUAAAUAUAUUCCUACCAUUAAAGUAUUUGUAAGUAUUUAAAAAUAUACUUCAAACUGAAUUGAUCACAAAGUCAAAAGGUUAAAAUCAGAUCUCCAUAUGUCGAUCAUUUAAAAUCAAUCAAAACCAUUACUUGGAAUUUCUUAUUAUCAAUAUGUAUACGUGCCUCUACCUUAUUCUCCUCACUCGUUAACAAUUUCGCUUUUAUCGAGAGCUAACCAUUACAAAUUACACGUGAGAAUUACACGUUGCACGCGAUCGAUUACACGAAUAUCGAACAGCUUGAAUCGCCAUCAACGAAUAAAAUGAUCAUCUUCUACGAGGUUUUUCAAACGACGCAUCGAUCAAACCGGUAUUAAAUAUGGUUCGUACCACAUUACCCAACGUGCACGCGAAUAUCCUCUUAACACGCAGAUCGAGAACAACCAUCUGUAUCACUAAUCGACUAAUAUACGUGUCAAUAUUCGAUUAACGUUCGUAGAGUUGCAUCUCGAACAUAUUCUGAAUCACUUGGUAGAACAACGAUACGAGCUUGCCUCGUAUUUGCAUACGAAAGUGUAUGUUUCUUACGUGUAACAACAUCGAUUCACGAAUGCGAUAAAACGAAAAUCGCACGAGCCUCAGAACGAAUCACGCGUGAAGCAACAGUGAAAAUUUAGAAAGUUUGGAAUAUCGUGUUUGUUAUCUAAUCGAGAUUUAAGGGUAGGUUCGUAGCAAUAUGCAGAAAAAUGUUCGUACGAAAUGGAAUCCUUAUUUACUAUGUCCUUAGCAACCAUUCGUUACCGUGCUAAUUAGGUUUAAUUAUUCCCGUCGUGAGAAACUAUUCGAUUGAAACGUCCUAUUCGAGGUUAUUUAACAUUAAUCCUUUUGUCAAUGCUCACUCUGGCUUCCUCGGUGGUUUCCGUCAUCUCGAUGAAUUUCUUCCCCACUGUUUCUUCGCGCUUUCACGAUUUCGAACAACCGACGUUCUUAUGCAGUCAACGCCGUAAUGCGACAUUAACUCUGUUACCCGGUCUCUUAGCUAACAAUGCACCCUUGUCCCUCUCUUCCGCCACCCCUUUGUUUCUACUCCUUCCUGUACCUGUUAGUUUGCAUACUAUCGAUGUUCCAUUAUUAGGGUACCAAUGAAAUGUACGAAGAAAAUCCCGUUGUAUCUCCGAUAGGAGAGGAACAAUAAUUACGAACGAUAGAGGAACGAUAAAAUAAAAAAUAAUGUCUUAUGAAAUGGAUAAGAAAUUUGGUGAAAGUGUUUUGAAAGAAGAGUCGAGAAGUUUAUGAUAAACGGUUUUAUCGAGCGAGCAGUCAUCAUCGCGAUAAGGAAAUGAGCAGUGGCUCGGGCAAGAUAUAUGCAUAGAUAAGGUAUACGAUAGAUCUAUCAGCCAAUGUAUUUCUUCGUCCUUUGUCUCGGGCGAUAGCAAACUUUCUUAUCAUUCUAGUGUCGUUUCCAAUGUUACCGAUUCAGCAUAGAAUAAGAUCGUGACAUUAGUAGUGGUUGGAAUUAAAACUAAAUGUUACUGUGAAAAUAAGGGUAAAAAGAGGUACAAAAUAGUGUUUGUGAAACGAUUAGAAAGAAAUAUAUUUAUACUCGAUUAAAGGGCAAGUCGUACAAGUAGUUAUGAAUUUGCAGAAACUCGGAUAAAAUGUUCUAUUCUCCGAAUAAUAUCAUUUCUCGCAUAGAUUGCACAAGAUUAUUACAACGUUCCAAGAGUACAUAUUUUAUUUCUAUCUUUCGUAUAUUACGUCAGUCUCUCGACUUAUAACAUAAGUCUCAUCUUUUGGUAAUGGUAAAAUCCCAAACCUUACCUUUGUUAACGUUACAACUAUCCUCAAGCUAGCAUCAGUGCAUUUAAUACUCUUGAAUCUAUCGUUCAAUAUUAUCACACAAUUUCGACUCGAUCUUCGAUAUUUCGAAAGAAAAAUAUUCCAGAUGAAAUGCAAAUUCCAGAGUCAUGUACAUACAUCUAACUUCUUGGGCCGUCGCACGUAGGAAAUCUUAACGAACCGAAUGAAACGAAUGAAUUAAAAUCCAUGACAUACUAAAAGAAAAAUAUUCCAGGUUAAACGUAAAUUGCAAUGUUAUCUAUGCCCUUGAUCCACAUAUGUCCUAAUUUCUUUUCCAAUACAUAAUGCCAUUUUUCUAUACGAGGUCUAAAUUAAUUUUUCCAGUUACCCUUAGCUAUUUCUUUGCAAUUCUAAACGAUAAAGCAAAAGAGCAACAGCUAAAAACAUCGCGAAGUAAAAUUAUCUUGCGAAAAUAUUUAUAUAAAAUUCUAAAAUCCUCGAUAAAAUUGAAAAAUCGAUCUCCAUUCUUUCACCUUCCCUCUUCUCCUCUUCAAAGCCAGCCGCGAAACAAUUCUCAGCAACAAAUCAUCUGAAAUUGAAUCAAAGAGAAUCAAAAGGCUUCAUCGCGUUCGAAUCUGAGAGAUGCAACGAGAAGGAAAUCGCCGAGAGGCGUGGAAGAUUUGCACACGCGGGCAAUAAAAUAGUAUCGAUCAGUCGAUGAGAACAAUGGAGGAGGCUGGCAAGAAUUCAAAAGUUUGCCAGCAAGUAUCGUUCUGUUUCCAGGAAGCCGUUCGAUGGAAGGGGUUUUCGACCCUAUUCCAGCCUCGUGCUGCCGGUUGCGGACCAGCGGCCACCGCGUGUAUCGACUAACGUCGGUGUAUUGACUAAUGACUGGUAGGCUGUUGCAAGUAGUACCGCUCCGUGUCAGGACGGACACACUCGAGUCUCGCGACCAUAUUAAUGGCGCGCGACCGCCGCGAACACAGGGGUUAAGGCGCAUUUAUGUAACACGUAGGCGAGGAGUUCCUUCGACGUCGCGCGACCUACAUUUCCUGACCAAUGUCUGGGAAAAACGAGGUCAUGAACGCGAACGAUACGCUGGCAACCGUUUGCGGAAAAACCCUAUUCUUAAUUUUGCCAAUGUGACGAUGUCUCGUUCUGGUGUUCGUAAGAUUUCAAAAAGUUUCGUACGAUACACAUAACAUAUAUUUAUAAAAAUUUUCUAUGGUAAAUAUCCACGAUACCUUUACGAAUCAUUGUACGUUGGCGGAAGUAAUCAUUUCCGAACAAAUAGUCGAACGUUUUUUACAAUAGUUCGUCUUUUACUCGAAGAUAAGAUAUUUUGUUUUCGUAGAUAAAAUUCUCCGAAAUUCUCUCCCUUGUUUCGUAGAGUUUGCGAGAGAUACUCAUUAAAAAAAUCGUUAUUAUUAACGUAUUAAAAUAUAGAGCAAAAAUUAUCGAGUACAAAAAAGUUAGACCAUAUAGUAUAUAAUUGUGAAUAAUACAAAAUCUUUCGUGCAUAUACGAUCAAUGUUGAUCGAUGAAUCUUCUCGAUAACAACAAACAACGUAGAGAGAAAAUCACAGGAUUGGAAUGAAUAUCAUAACGAAUAAAUUAGAAUCCCCUUUAAAGCCACUGUUCGAUAAUUAACAUCUGCAUUAGUAAUUGCAUGGCACUUGGUUUUAUUAAAAAGAAACGUGUAACGAACGUAGAAGCACACAAAUAUACAAGUCCUCGUUAAUUUGAGCGAAUUUCGCAAUCAAAAUCUCAAUAAUCGCGUAAUCGAUGCUUGUUAAGGAUAUUGGAAUAAAUGAAUACAAAGCGUUAUACCGAGUCGUAUAUCGAGUGAAAUUUGCGAUAUCUACGAUCUCGCCAUUUAUUAUUGGAAUAUCAUCUUACUAUUCUAUGGCGCUAGGACAAUAAUCGUUAAUAUUGUACCGUUAUCGUCGAAUUCGUAUCACGACGUAUGUAGUACACCCGUCAUUGCGCUCGGACAACUAGAAUCGCACCGUAGAAUCCACCGUGAUUCGAGUUUCCUGCGUCCUGAUCGCAAGUUAUCAACGCAUGCAGGAUGAAAGCACGCGAAAUUAAACGCUUCAUUAACAACACGCACGAUCGCAACAUCUUCUCCUUUUUAUUUAACGAAAGCGCUCGUUGAUACGCGUGGAAAAAAUCGAUCGAUCUAAACAUUGAAACAGACAACAGGCAAAGCGUGAAUAAAACGCAUGCUUGCAUCCUAACAACGAGUUUUUCUUGCGAGUUAAUUCGUGUUUUUGAUUGCUUGCGCGCAAGAUCGAGUAUUUCAGCGAUCAAAUAGAACAUUUUUAGAAUCGAUAAAUUCGCAAACCAGUUACUUCUUUCGUUCUAGAUAUAUAGAUUAUCGUAACAAUAAAUGGAUAUUAAUUAACGAGAAUACUUCUUCUCUUUUUUUUCUUUACCUUUUAUUAUCUCUUUUUAGAUGUUUCAUUUGCAGCGCUGAAAUGACUCUUUAAAGCACUCUCGGCCUGUCAGGUGAAACCUCAAGAUACUAUUGUACUUUGCAACCUGUGUGUCUCAUGUGAUAAUCACGAUGCAAUGUAUCGACCAAUUAUUGUUACCUUUUUAUUCCGUUUCGUUUAUUCCAAUUACUCGAAAGAGAUCGAACAGAAGAGAAAUAUAUCGUUUCAAAGGACAACUUAGACAGAGAGCGAGAGAAAGAGAGAGGGAGAGAAAGCAAGUUUCAGUGGAUCGUCGCAAUCGACGAGUUUCCUCGUAUUUCGCGUCAAGUCCGUUUCAUGGAUGUCGAAGAAACGCGCAAGUAUCGACCGUUUCCAGCGUCUAUAGUUGAAAACUCGCUUCUCUGUCAAAACUUUCGGAAUGAAAAUGAAAUAUUCGCGAGGUCCCAAUGUCAUGUUUAUCACACAAGGCAGCGCGGGUUUAGCAUCGCGACGAUCAUCGAUCGUACACAACCACAUUAUGACGCCGGACAUUCGUGGGUGAUCGAUCAACCUUCCGUUUUAACAACCACUUAAAAUAUGCAAUAACAGCACGUCCGGUGGUGAGGUACGUUACAAAACUAGUACAAAACUAGCAGCUAGGUACAAAAAUGUAAUUAAUCGUUAAUAACGAAGGCCGCCCGGAAAACUGCCAGGGACCAAUCUCGCGUUUUCCUUUCAUCCUCGUCUCGUUCUCAGUUCGUCGUUAUUUUUAUCCGCGUUGCUUUUAUCAUAAGACGAGGAAAAGAAAAAAAAAAAAAGAAAAAAUAUAGAGGAGAAAGAAAUGAGAAAAAGAAGCAACGCUUCGAUCUUCCUUUUUCAGAUGCAGGUACUGUUACCUCUAUCUUUUUCUCCUCCUUUUGUUUUAUCCAGUUCUGUAUGCUUGAUUUAUUCCCUUCCUCCGCUUCGUUCUCGUUCCUUCCUUCUCUUUGAGCGACUUUAAAGUAUUUAGAAUCUCGUUAUCGCUGAGGAAUUUAAUACUGCUCGGUUUGGCGGUUUCGCGGAUGCACGCUAACGUGGGUGGCACACCGGCUUUGAUGGAACACGCCCGGAAGCUGGUAUUUCGACUGGUGUUCCCGUUUGAUAAAUGUUUCAAGCGACCAUCGCUUUGCUGCUUCUCCUCUUGUGUGGCAUUACGAAGUAAUCAAAUUCUGCUUUAGGGAGGGCGCGUCCUGCUGUUGAAAUCUUACGUUUUAGAGAGCUGGUUGCUAUUCAAAAUAAUUGUUAAGAAGAACAUUUGAUAGACAUCGCAUACAAAUGUUCAAUACAGUCUAUACUAUGUUGAAAUAAUUAUUUCAAUGAAGAAUAUAUUUUAAUGAAACGGAUUAUUUCAUUUGUAAUUAAGAUAGCUUUGAUUUAGAAGUUCGCGUAUUAUCCUCUUUUUUUUUUUUAAUAAGAAAGUGAAUAUUAGGAACAGCAUGUUUAAAUAAAUCUAGCAAAUUUGAUAUGAAAAAGAGAUAUUGUCGAGCUGAGUAAGAGAUUUGGGAAACCUUCUAAGCUUAACUUCAUCUUAUACGUAAUAGAAGUGUAAUAGAAUUUUAAGUGUAUCAAGAUUCAUAAGCAUUUCGUAAAUGAAAUAACAGACACGCUUAACAUAAUGAUACGUUCAAAUAAGUAUUAUAAGCAUUAUCUCAGCUCAAAUAAUCAUUUCACGUUUAAAUAACGCUUAAACAAUUACAUCGAACGUUCUUGCAAAAAGCAAAAGAACUUCAUCGUCACAAAACCCGUUUGAAAGCAGUUUAGAAUUUACAAAAUUCUUUUUACCAAAUGAAUCUCUGUCGACACUAUGAAAAUGAAUACGGCGGACACUCGAUGGAAUUGCCUGAUCGCGGAAGGAACAUUCAUCCGGGCCAGGUGGGCGCUUAUCCCUGUGUCGGCGUGCACCCGGGACGUUGCAUCGUAAAAGUUUAAAGCGCGUAACGAUGGAUUUGGACGAAAGAAUCGUGGCAUGCGCGAUCUAAUAUGUACAUACAUACACGAAGAGACAUUCGCAGCAAAAUCAUAACAUUUUCUUCGUUCUUUUUUUCUUUCUUUUUUUCAUUUAUGCGCCACGAUCAACCCCGGCUAAAGAAUUUGCGGAAACAUUACACAGAAAUAAAAAUAUCUCGCGAAACGAAAAAGAAACGAAACAUAGACAAAACUGUUGCGUUUUUGUUCAAUCAAUUUUAUUGGAAUUAUUAACAAUACGACGGGUGACGGUACCCUCCUUCACGAUUACCUCCUCAACUCAUUUACGAAUCAUCGUUAGAAAGGAAUUAAUCAUUUAACUGCGUUAAAUCAACACUAUAUCGUACCGCUUAUUAUUGCUUUGACUUCGCGAGUUAUACAAAGCAUUCGAAUGAAGUGCGAACGAAGCGAGUUCGUUCGAAAAAUACUUCGUUGUCGUGAACAGGUAAAAAUUCGCAAGUGCUUUUGAUCUUCAAACAGGGAUGGACGUGUGUAUCUUAGGAUAAAUCUUAAUUGGGAUUCAUCGAUGUUCUUCGCAACAGAUAUACUUGGAAGAACGGUGAAUAUCGAUACCGUGACUCAUCGCACUGGUAAAUAACUCGCAUGACACGUUGCUCGUUCGUGGUAAACAAUUAACGACGAUACACGUCGCAUAACAAUCGUUAAAAUUUGUCGAACAAUUCGUCGGCCGAGCUGCCGUCGAACAACGAGCCGGCAAUUAACAAAGAGGUUGGCGUCGCGUCGCUUUUUAUCUUGUUGCAUUUUAGCCGGGGUGCUGUUUUACAUAGCUAAAGUUUCAACUAUAACGUAGCCCAAAAUUUGCUUCGAUUCGGUUCUACAGUUAAGACAUCUU